rnacentral:rRNA from 1 species
UAGGGAAUCUUCCGCAAUGGACGCAAGUCUGACGGAGCAACGCCGCGUGAGUGAAGAAGGAUUUCGGUUCGUAAAACUCUGUUGUUAGAGAAGAACAGCGCAUAGAGUAACUGUUAUGCGUGUGACGGUAUCUAAUCAGAAAGCCACGGCUAACUACGUGCCAGCAGCCGCGGUAAUACGUAGGUGGCAAGCGUUAUCCGGAAUUAUUGGGCGUAAAGCGCGCGUAGGCGGUUAGAAAAGUCUGAAGUGAAAGGCAGUGGCUCAACCAUUGUAGGCUUUGGAAACUGUUUAACUUGAGUGCAGAAGGGGAGAGUGGAAUUCCAUGUGUAGCGGUGAAAUGCGUAGAUAUAUGGAGGAACACCGGUGGCGAAAGCGGCUCUCUGGUCUGUAACUGACGCUGAGGCUCGAAAGCGUGGGGAGCGAACAGG